rnacentral:rRNA from 1 species
UACGAAGGGGGCGAGCGUUGUUCGGAAUUACUGGGCGUAAAGGGCGCGUAGGCGGCCGAGCAAGUUAGAUGUGAAAGUCCUGGGCUUAACCUGGGGACUGCAUUUGAUACUGCUUGGCUUGAAUUCGGGGGAGGAUAGCGGAAUUCCCAGUGUAGAGGUGAAAUUCGUAGAUAUUGGGAAGAACACCGGUGGCGAAGGCGGCUAUCUGGACCGACAUUGACGCUGAGGCGCGAAAGCGUGGGGAGCAAACAGG